rnacentral:rRNA from 1 species
GAUGAACGCUGGCGGCGUGCCUAAUACAUGCAAGUCGAGCGGACCAAAGAGAGCUUGCUCUCUGAGGUUAGCGGCGGACGGGUGAGUAACACGUGGGUAACCUGCCUGUAAGACGGGGAUAACUUCGGGAAACCGAAGCUAAUUCCGGAUGAUAAAGAGAAACGCCUGUUUCUUUUUUGUAAGUCGGCCUUGUGCUGACGCUUACAGAUGGGCCCGCGGCGCAUUAGCUAGUUGGUGAGGUAACGGCUCACCAAGGCGACGAUGCGUAGCCGACCUGAGAGGGUGAUCGGCCACACUGGGACUGAGACACGGCCCAGACUCCUACGGGAGUCAGCAGUAGGGAAUCUUCGGCAAUGGACGAAAGUCUGACCGAGCAACGCCGCGUGAGCGAUGAAGGCCUUCGGGUCGUAAAGCUCUGUUGUCAGAGAAGAACAAGUACCGGAGUAACUGCCGGUACCUUGACGGUACCUGACCAGAAAGCCACGGCUAACUACGUGCCAGCCGCCGCCGUAA